rnacentral:rRNA from 1 species
AUUGAACGCUGGCGGCAUGCCUUACACAUGCAAGUCGAACGGCAGCACGGGAGCAAUCCUGGUGGCGAGUGGCGAACGGGUGAGUAAAGUAUCGGAACGUGCCCAGUCGUGGGGGAUAACGUAGCGAAAGUUACGCUAAUACCGCAUACGAUCUAUGGAUGAAAGCGGGGGAUCGCAAGAACUUGCGCGAUUGGAGCGGCCGAUAUCAGAUUAGGUAGUUGGUGGGGUAAAGGCUCACCAAGCCGACGAUCUGUAGCUGGUCUGAGAGGACGACCAGCCACACUGGGACUGAGACACGGCCCAGACUCCUACGGGAGGCAGCAGUGGGGAAUUUUGGACAAUGGGCGAAAGCCUGAUCCAGCCAUGCCGCGUGUAGGAUGAAGGCCUUCGGGUUGUAAACUGCUUUUGUACGGAACGAAAAGGUUUGGCCUAAUAAGCUGAGCUCAUGACGGUACCGUAAGAAUAAGCACCGGCUAACUACGUGCCAGCCGCCGCAGUAA